GCUGGUUGCCGAUGAAUGCUAUAUUUACGUUUGGGAAAAAGAAAAUAGGAAAACACCAUUUCCUAACCGGAGAAAUCAUUUAUCAGUUACGUUUUGCCCAUCAUUUCCUUUUGAGCGGUGGAUAUGGCAGGAAAACUCAUGAAUGCACUUCAGUAUACUGCCUAUGGUGGCGGACCAGAUGGCUUACAGCAUGUGGAAGUUCCAGUUCCCACUCCUAGUAAAGAUGAGGUAUUGUUGAAAUUAGAAGCAGUUAGUCUAAAUCCAUUUGAUUGGAAAGUUCAGAAAGGCAUGCUUCGGCCUUUUCUUCCUCGCAAGUUUCCUCACAUACCUGCUUCUGAUGUGGCAGGUGAGGUUAUAGAGGCUGGACCAGGAGUAAAAAAUUUCAAGCCUGGGGAUAAAGUUGUAGCUUUUACCUCCAGGAAUGGAGGUGGACUAGCGGAAUUUGCUGUAACCAAGGAAAGCUUGACAGUUGCAAGACCACCUGAAGUUUCAGCAGCCGAUGCAGUUGGCCUUCCAAUUGCAGGUUUGACAGCACACCAAGCUGUCACUCAAUCUGGUAUCAAUCUUGAUGGAAGUGGCAAGGAGGCAAACAUUCUGGUAACUGCUGCUUCAGGUGGUGUGGGUCACUAUGCUGUUCAACUGGCCAAGCUGGGAAAUGCACACGUGACAGCCACUUGUGGCGCACGCAACAUUGAACUUGUCAAGAGCUUAGGGGCUGAUGAGGUUCUCGACUACAGGACCACAGAUGGGGCAGCUCUGAACAGCCCAUCUGGUCGAAAAUAUGAUGCAGUCAUUCACUGUGCAACUGGCAUUCCUUGGUCUACUUUCGAACCUAAUUUGAGCCCAAAUGGGAAGGUAAUUGAUAUUACUCCAGGACCUACUUCCCUGGUCACUUUUGCCCUGAAGAAACUUACUUUCUCCAAGAAGCAACUGGUGCCACUAGUCUUAAUUCCCAGGGGUGAGAACCUCCAAUAUCUUGUUAACUUGGUCAAGGAAGGGAAGCUCAAGACAGUGAUUGACUCAAAAUAUCCCCUGGACAAGGCCGCAGAGGCUUGGGCUAAGAGUAUUGAUGGCCAUGCAACUGGGAAGAUCAUCGUUGAACCUUAGGGCUUCUACGCUGUUAAACAGGGUUAUGAGAAUAUUGUUUAAUAUAUUGGAGAAUGGAGAGAGCCUUCUACACUGUAAAACAAGGCUUCCGAGGAUGUUUGUUUUGUGCAACAGCCAAGUUCAUGCCGCGUGAUAUUACAAAAUGAUAAAGUUCAGUACACGAUAACGGGCUGAUACGAUUCACGCCGCUCUGCCUCUUUCCUUCUCUGCAUGUUGAGUCAGACAAACAAACUCGUCGGCUUCCAAUUGAGAUCUGCUAGUGUAUUUCCAUAUUCUCAAAUCGACUUCCUUUCUUUCUUAUGUGUAGCCACACAACCAGCCAAUCUGAGA